AUGAAGGUUGAAGAAGCAUUGGAAGAUCUGGAUUGGAUAAAUGCUAUGCAUGAAGAGCUACACAACUUUGAGAGAAAUCAAGUGUGGACAUUGGUUGAAAAGCACGACAACAACCACAACAUCAUCGGUACCAAAUGGGUGUUUCGCAACAAGCAAGAUGAAGAUGGACAAGUGGUUCCCAACAAAGUGCGUCUCGUCGCCCAAGGCUACACACAAGUCGAAGGUAUGGACUAUGGUGAGACAUAUGCUCCCGUUGCUAGACUUGACUCCAUUCGCAUCUUACUUGCCUAUGCUAAUCACAAUAAUAUCACCUUGUACCAAAUGGACAUUAAAAGUGCUUUUCUAAAUGGUGAAAUUGAAGAGGAAGUUUAUGUUAAGCAACCUCCCGGCUUUGUCAAUCCUAAGAAACCUAAUCAUGUUUACAAACUUCACAAAGCCCUUUAUGGUCUUAAACAAGCUCCUAGAGCAUGGUAUACAUGCUUGACCAAGUUCCUUAUUGAAACAGGCUUUGAAAUUGAAAAAAUAUAUUCUACUCUUUUUACUAAAAGGGUUAAUGGAGAACUAUUUGUAUGCCAAAUUUAUGUUGAUGAUAUUAUAUUUGGAUCAACUAACCCUCAUUUUAGUGAAAAGUUUGGGAAGUUAACGUCGGAGAAGUUUGAGAUGUCUAUGAUGAUUGAACUCAAAUUCUUUCUUGGUUUGCAAAUCAAGCAAACUAAGGAAGGCACCUUUGUCUCUCAAACGAAGUACACCAAGGACUUAUUCAAGAAGUUCAAUAUGCAAGAACGCAAAAGUAUGACUACACCCAUGCCUACUAGUGGACAUCUUGAUUUGAUCAAAGAUGGUGAACCGGUUGAUCAAAAAGUUUAUCGCUCUAUGAUUGGUUCAUUAUUAUAUCUAUGUGCUUCAUGUCCCGAUAUCAUGUUAAGUGUGUGCAUGUGUGCACGAUAUCAAGCUGCUCCUAAGGAAUGUUAUCUUAUGGACGUAAAAAGGAUAGUGAGAUACUUAAUACAUACACCAAAUUUUGGCAUUUGGUAUCCAAAGAGAACUUCCUUUGAUCUUGUUGGCUACUCCGACUCGGACUAUGCCGGUGACAAGGUUGAUAGGAAGUUCACUUUGGGUACUUGUCAAUUUCUUGGUAGAUCUCUUGUGUCUUGGUCUCCCAAGAAACAAAACUCGGUAUCCUUAUCCACCGCUGAAGCGGAAUACAUUGCUGCGGGUUCAUGUUGUGCUUAA
rnacentral:rRNA from 1 species